CAGUAGCCGCGGUAAUACGAAGGGUGCAAGCGUUACUCGGAAUUACUGGGCGUAAAGCGUGCGUAGGCGGUGAGUUAAGUCUGCUGUGAAAUCCCCGGGCUCAACCUGGGAAUGGCAGUGGAUACUGGCUCGCUAGAGUGUGUCAGAGGAUGGUGGAAUUCCCGGUGUAGCGGUGAAAUGCGUAGAGAUCGGGAGGAACAUCAGUGGCGGAGGCGGCCAUCUGGGACAACACUGACGCUGAGGCACGAAAGCGUGGGGAGCAAACAGGAUUAGAUACCCCCGUAGUCCCUGUCUCUUAUAA
rnacentral:rRNA from 1 species